rnacentral:rRNA from 1 species
CCUACGGGUGGCAGCAGUCGAGAAUCAUUCACAAUGGGGGAAACCCUGAUGGUGCGACGCCGCGUGGGGGAAUGAAGGUCUUCGGAUUGUAAACCCCUGUCAUGUGGGAGCAAAUUAAAAAGAUAGUACCACAAGAGGAAGAGACGGCUAACUCUGUGCCAGCAGCCGCGGUAAUACAGAGGUCUCAAGCGUUGUUCGGAAUCACUGGGCGUAAAGCGUGCGUAGGCUGUUUCGUAAGACGUGUGUGAAAGGCGCGGGCUCAACCCGCGGACGGCACAUGAUACUGCGAGACUAGAGUAAGGGAGGGGGAACCGGAAUUCUCGGUGUAGCAGUGAAAUGCGUAGAUAUCGAGAGGAACACUCGUGGCGAAGGCGGGUUCCUGGACAUUAACUGACGCUGAGGCACGAAGGCCAGGGGAGCGAAAGGGAUUAGAUACCCUUGUAGUC